AUGCUUAACUUUUUUAUAAAACAUGCGGAAUCAAAAUCUUCAUUAUCAAAAUACUUCAUCAUCAGUGCAGUCUUUCUCGUUCUCAUAUAUACACGUAAAAAAGAUCCAUUAACAAGACUUAGAAUAAGCCUUUGUGCAUGUUUUUGGAAUGAAUUACAAUUAUUUCACAGAUGCCCUGUUCUAAAACAAAUACUCCCUCCAAUUAAUCUUAUAAGCAAUUUUUUUAAUUCAUUCAACAAUUGA